rnacentral:rRNA from 1 species
GACGAACGCUGGCGGCGUGCUUAACACAUGCAAGUCGAACGGAAAGGCCCUGCUUUUGUGGGGUGCUCGAGUGGCGAACGGGUGAGUAACACGUGAGUAACCUGCCCUUGACUUUGGGAUAACUUCAGGAAACUGGGGCUAAUACCGGAUAGGAGCUCCUGCUGCAUGGUGGGGGUUGGAAAGUUUCGGCGGUUGGGGAUGGACUCGCGGCUUAUCAGCUUGUUGGUGGGGUAGUGGCUUACCAAGGCUUUGACGGGUAGCCGGCCUGAGAGGGUGACCGGCCACAUUGGGACUGAGAUACGGCCCAGACUCCUACGGGAGGCAGCAGUGGGGAAUAUUGCACAAUGGGCGGAAGCCUGAUGCGGCAACGCCGCGUGCGGGAUGACGGCCUUCGGGUUGUAAACCGCUUUCGCCUGUGACGAAGCGUGAGUGACGGUAAUGGGUAAAGAAGCACCGGCUAACUACGUU